rnacentral:rRNA from 1 species
UACGUAGGGUGCGAGCGUUGUCCGGAAUUAUUGGGCGUAAAGAGCUUGUAGGUGGUUUGUCGCGUCUGCUGUGAAAACUCGGGGCUUAACCCUGGGCCUGCAGUGGGUACGGGCAGACUAGAGUGCGGUAGGGGAGACUGGAAUUCCUGGUGUAGCGGUGAAAUGCGCAGAUAUCAGGAGGAACACCGGUGGCGAAGGCGGUGGUCUGGGCCGGCACUGACGCUGAGGAGCGAAAGCGUGGGUAGCAAACAGG